rnacentral:rRNA from 1 species
AACGAACGCUGGCGGCAUGCCUAACACAUGCAAGUCGAACGAGAUCUUCGGGUCUAGUGGCGCACGGGUGCGUAACGCGUGGGAAUCUGCCCUUUGGUUCGGAAUAACAGUUGGAAACGACUGCUAAUACCGGAUGAUGACGAAAGUCCAAAGAUUUAUCGCCAGAGGAUGAGCCCGCGUAGGAUUAGCUAGUUGGUGUGGUAAAGGCGAACCAAGGCGACGAUCCUUAGCUGGUCUGAGAGGGUGAUCAGCCAUACUGGGACUGAGACACGGCCCCGACUCCUCCGGGGGGCAGCAGUGGGGAAUAUUGGACAAUGGGCGAAAGCCUGAUCCAGCAAUGCCGCGUGAGUGAUGAAGGCCUUAGGGUUGUAAAGCUCUUUUACCCGGGAUGAUAAUGACAGUACCGGGAGAAUAAGCUCCGGCUAACUCCGUGCCAGCCGCCGCUGUAA